CUUUGAAGUUGGUUGGUGUCAGAUUCGAGUCUCUUGCUGCUGUGAAUCCGUCAGGUGGUGGAGUCGUACCGCUGCUAGCUAGAUAAACACGAGACUAUUUAAACAAAAACAGCAACAUUGUAAUAAUGGUGGUUUAGCGGCAAUUAGUGUUUCUUUUUUAAAAUGUCAGUGUUUGUUUGUGUAUCCACAGAAUGACAGACAGGUAACGGGCAUUGUGUAAAUUGACAGCGAGAAAGCUAUACAGUGAACGGUUCUCGUUGAUUUUGCUAAUAAGCGCACGUGGGGGCCGAUGGUGCCAGUCGCUGACACGGUUUGAACCCGAGUUGCUGCGCCGUUCACACAAAACACAGGAAGGAGUGUUAAAAACGGAUGUAUGACAAUGACCCAUGCUGUGAACGCGACCAGCCACGGGUUGUUUCAUCUCCUCGCCUUUCAUUUGACAUUUUAGCGACACAUGAGACCCGCUAGCUAAGCUACCGUUUGGAUUAUUCGGUGCGCCUUUUUGGACCACAAAGUGCGACUGUUGUCUACACAGUGAGUGGAUAACGUAUAUUUGAGAAAGCAUGGGGACUCAGGGCACAGGACGGAAGAGAUCUACCAAGAAGGAGAGGUCGACGGCAGAGGACGAUGCCCUUAAUCUCAUAGCGAGAGAGGCUGAGGCCAGGCUGGCAGCGAAGAGGGCAGCCAGGGCAGAGGCCAGAGAGAUCCGCAUGAAGGAACUGGAGAGACAGCAGAAAGAGAUCUUUCAGGUGCAGAAGAAAUAUUAUGGCUUGAACACCAAAAUAGAUGACCGAGCGGACAGCAAAUGGGGAGAUAUUGAACAAUGGAUGGAGGACAGUGAGAGAUACUCACGUUCUUCACGGAUACAAACGCUCUCAGACGAUGAUGAGCGGAUGUCAGUGGGAAGCCGGGGCAGCGUCCGGUCGGAUCUUGAUGCAGUUGGGGCUUAUGGUGGAGGGGACUCCUCGCCACAUAAGAAGUCAAAGAAAAAGAAGAAACAUAAGCACAAAGAUAGGAACGGCUGUGAUGAUGAGUACAGUGUAAUAUCCAGCAGGAGCUCCCGACUCAGUGAUGAAAGCAGAGUGUCUCGCUCCUCCAGGCUUGACCUAAUGAGCUCCAGACUAAGUGAUGACACCCGGGUGUCCCGGGCCUCCAGAUUAGACCUGCAGCCGGCGUCUUAUGCUUCCUCUGACUUGUACGGCUUCAAUGGUCUGUCCACUUCCAGAAAACCAGGUUCAGCUUUCAAUGGUUACCAGAGCGCCUUGUAUGAAGACUGCAGUGGGUCCCCGCGAGUCUCCAGCUCUCAUCCUCUAGAGUACACUAGUUAUCGCAGCUCCGGCUCCAGAGUUUCCUCCAGGGCCGGUUCGGCCCGCGCCAGCCCAGUGGACAACUGCAGCUCUGUUGCCAGUUUUUUGAGGAGUGCGGCCAAUAGCAGUGGCCUCCACCGAGACCUGGACGAUGUUACUAUUCCUGACUUUUCUGAUGUGGAGGACAGAGAUUAUCUGGAGAAGGGAUCUCGAGCAGCUUCUGCUUUAACAGCAGCAACCCUCACCUCCUUAGGCGGGACGUCCUCGCGGAGAGGAAGCGGCGAGACGGCUAUAACUCUAGAUGCAGAGACGUCUAUACAAGAAAUCAAGGAGAUUCAUGAACUGAAGGAUCAGAUUCUAGAUGUGGAAACCAAGUACACGCAGAACCUAAAAGAAGUCAAGGAUGUAUUGGUAGAAGUGGAGGAGAAGUAUCGUAAGGCCAUGGUGUCCAACGCCCAGUUGGACAACGAGAAGAACAACCUGAUGUACCAGGUGGACACGCUCAAAGACUCGCUCAUGGAGCUGGAGGAACUGCUGUCUGAGUCGCGCCGUGGAUAUGAGGAGAAAGUCAAGGAAUACGAGCGAGAGAAACAUGCCCACUCUGUGCUUCAGUUCCAGUUCAAUGAAAUGAAAGAGACGCUAAAACAAAGUGAAGAGCUGCUCAACGACAUCCGUCAGCUGCGUAUGAAACAGGAAGGUUUUGUUAGAGAAAUAUCUGACCUGCAGGAAACGGUGGAGUGGAAGGAUAAAAAGAUUGGGGCCUUAGAGCGACAGAAAGAAUACACAGAUGCAAUCCGAAUUGAGCGAGAUGAGCUCAGAGAAGAGGUGGUGCAGCUGAGAGACAUUUUGAAGAAACAUGGAAUAGUAUUGGGACCUGAUCUAAACGUCAAUGGAGAGGUUGGUGAGGCAGAAGUGGACGGGUCCCCCAGUGCAGACGCUGCUUCCCAAUCGGCUCAGGAUUCACACGCUUCCCCAGCGGAGGGGAACAGCAUGCUGGGCAACACAGAGGAGAGUCAGUUGAGAAGUAGCAGAGAGGAGGAGGUGGAUCCAGAGCGGCAUCAAGAAAUGUUUGAAGAAACCAAAGAGAAUCUGAAUACUGAUAAUCUCUGUAAUGUUGCUGGUGUUUCCACCCUGGAAACAUCUAGCGAAGAACAGCCAACAGAAGAACAGACAUGCUUAGAAGAAGACAAGAAAACUGCCACAGAAGAAGACACUGUUGAAGAACGUGGCCUCAGCAAGAACUCAGAUGUUGACAUUAAUGACCAAUCAAUCACAGAGGCCAAAGAUAUAAUCAUUUGCAGCCCUGGGUUUCAAGGGAUUGUAACAAGUUCUGAGAAAAAUGUUCUAGAGAAAGAAAGGCCUGCAGGGGGAGAUUUAGGGGAGACAGAAACCAAAAGCAGUAGUGUUGACACCAAGAGUGAUGACAUUAGAGAGUCAUCUAACAAUCUUUUUGAAGAGGGAGAAAAUAAACAGGAAGAUGUUGAGGAAAGUCAUUUGAGAAAUACAGAACCAUGUCCUCAGCAAAGAAUUGUUAUGACGGAAAGUUUACCGGAUGAGUGCGUCCAAGCUGUGGAAAACACCGAACCUCAACCAAAGCCUGAUAAUGCAGAAGAUGCAGAGAACGACGAGGCAGGGGAAAUAUCAAGUAAAACUCAGCCUCAGUGCGCUGCUGCUUCAGGGAAAAAGAAGAAAAGGAAGAGGAAAAGCAAAAAGAAAGGAGGAACUCACGAGGAUACGAACCAACAAAAAGAUGUAACCGAUAAAGAAAAUGACAAAACCGAAAUAGACAUUGAAUCGGCUACAAGAGAGAAAGGGCCAACAGCAGAACUUAAAGUUGAUGGUUCUGUUACUGAAACCCUUAGGGGAUCAAGGGUGGAUCAAGUGAAGAAUGAGCAGCACAUGCAAGAAACUGAGGUGGUAGAUAGAGUAAAAGCAGUGAAACCCACUGAAACCUUUUCUUCCAAUGAAACUCUCAAAGAAUCAAGAAUGGAUGAUUUUACAGAUGAGCACGACAAGGAACAAACUUUGGGAACUGAGAACGUAGGAGAAGCUGAAGCUGUGGCGACUACUGAAACCUUUUCGCCCAAUGAAACUCUCAAAGAAUCAAGAAUGGAUGAUGUUACAGAUGGGCAGAACAAGGAACCAGGUCUGGAAACUGAAACAGUGGAGGCAGUGGCACCCAUUGAAACCUUUUCUCACGUUGAAACUCUCAAGGAAACCACAGCAGAUCUCAGAAAGGAUAAGCAAGACAAGAAACAAACUUUAGAAUUAGAGAAAGUAGAAGUGGGGUCUAUAACAGAGAUGGACCUUAGUACUUCUGAUCUUAUUGACAACUCCAAGCGUGCAGAGAGCUCUGAUGAUCAUGACAAAGAGUGCGCUUUCAGUAAAGAUAACUCUAAAAGUGAAACCAACAUCUCAACUAAUGACGAUGUCAUCCAUACUGAAUUAGAAAAUAUUAAUAGUGCAGAGGAUAAAGUUGGACCUAUUGACGAGAUGAAAUCUGAAUGCUCAACUAAUAACCCCAAAAACGCCUUUGAAACAAGCGGUAAUGUUUCAAGCAAUGGUGACUUUGCUACGGAGAAAUCUGAAUCCACCAGCAUUGCUGAGAGUAAGGAGAACAUGUCUGUGUCCCUGUCUUCUACUGAUGGCUUCACCGACGCUCUCAUAAGCUUGUCUGGCUCAGACCAGUCUGCAGCCGUGAACUCAGGCAGCGAUGGCACUCCCAUCAAGGUUUCUGAGGGAGGUCCCAAGGAGACAACUGAGACAGCCAAAGACGACGAUGAGUCAGGAACAGAGAACGAACAAGAAUCCUUUUCGCCCAGUGUCAUUUCUUCAGCGCUAAAAGCAGAACAAACUGAAAAGGAGGAGCCAAAUGAAGGCUUGACGGGAGCUGAAGGUUUAAUCGAGCCAGACCGCUCACAUGACGUAAAAAGUGACCGUUGUGACAGUGCAUCUUUAACAAAAAAAACUGAAGCAUUUGACACUGUCAAGAGUCCGUUGCAGACUGUAGCGCAGGCCGAACUAUUGGAUGAUGUAGAAAGCCAGACAUUACAGUGUGAGGGUCAGGUUGAUGAAUCAAAUGUUGAAGUGGCAUCUGAGUCAGAAGAGAUCAAUACCAUUGACAUGUUAAAUACACCAUCCUCUCCAAAAGAAUCUACUGAAAUUGGAUCCUCUCCCGAGCAGAACCACAGUACUGAAGAAUCAGCUGUUGCGGAAUAUCCUGAACAUGAAAACAGUCAAAAUGAUGAGCAGAGUGAGACACAGCGACUGCCUGAACCCAGCAAAGACAACUCUGAGGAUAAUGAUUCAUCUCAACCCACUCUGCAGGGGAGCGAUGAAGACAACUGUGAAGAUGACGAAGGCCUGUCUUUUGAUUUUGAUGACAUGGAUGUUGAGGCGGCUGUAGCGACAAGUCUCUCUAAAAAUCCGGAACAGGAAGAAGUCGAGGAGGGAGUUGAAGUCAUGUCGGAUGAAAGCAGCAAUGGAAUUUCAGUCCAAAGUAAAACUGAGUCAAAUGAAAAAUCACAAGAAGAGCCAGUUGAAAGAAAUAACGAGACGUGUACAGUUGAUGGCGGCAACGAGGUAGAUAAACCAGAUACUAUGCAUCGAGACAACCAAAACUCUUUGGCUCAUGAGGGCAACACGUCUGAAAAGGGGGAACAUGUGGAAAAUGUGUGUGAAAAGCAGAAACCCAUGCCUGGGGAAGAAGCAGGUGUAGCAGAUGAGCCCAGGCACAUUAUAGAGGAAGGAAAGGUUUUGGAUGUUGGAGAGUUGGGUGUGGUUGCAGAGGACAUUAACCAGGCGAUGUCUCUACCCAUAGAGGAAGGGUUAGAUGCCAUUAAGCAUGAGUUGCAGGGUGAAAAUUUGGAAUUACCAAAGCAUGUAGAACAAGUGGCCAGCAACAAAGAGCCACAGCAGACAGGGAAAGAUGUGAAGAAAAACAGCAAGAAAGGUAAAGGCAAGGGCAAGGAGGAGUGCAAGAUGUCUUAGCUUAUCGAUGGUAUAUAGUAUAGAUAUAUAUUAUUAGAUCUGCUCUCUACUAGUCUUUACUUAGCUUAGUUUUCAAAGUGGUCAAAUAAAUAUGUGCAGAACCUCACAGCACUUUGAUUCUUUCCCAAAUUAAUAUUGGUGUAAGUUUGUAUAUUAUUUUAAUUAAAUCCAUCCAACAGUCUUAGGUCCAAACAUUAAUUUUCAUUGAGGUCAUAUGUGUAAAAAAUAGUUUGUGGAGAGAUGAGGAUGUAAACUGCUUAGUAGAUUUUUUUUCUUUUCUUUUCUAUUGGAAAAUACUGCACUUGCUAUAUCAGGUAACAUUAUUUUGUUAUUGAUGCACAUUGAUCAUGCUGCUUGUUAUGUCUCAUGGGUAAUAUUGCUCUGCACCUGUAUCACACAUUUUUUAUCAUGCUACAAUUCCAGGAUCUCAUUGAUUAAUUGCAUAGGUUCAAAAUAAAAAAACGAUGUUAAUUUGUAAUUCUCAUUAAGGCCCAGUCCACACGAAUACAGGUAUCCCGUCCACACUAGCACUUUAAAAGAAGAAAAAAAAAAGAUUUCUGUCCAAAUGAAAAUGCAAAAACAGUUGAAGUGCUGUCAAGAGCAUGCCAACCAACAGGCGGCAAUAUGACCCUAACCCUAAAGCCAUGUCAACCAAUCAGAGGCUUCAAAAAAGCUAUUACUGUAAGGCUGCACCAACACCUCUGUUUCUAGUGGAAUAGUAACAGGACUUUUUACAUGCUUACACAUAAAUGUACAGUUAGCAAGGUAAGAACAGGAUUAUUUUGGCCAUGUCUGCCAUUGCGCGAAAUGUUGCCUCAUUUGUGACACCACAGAAAGAAGCUUAUGAUGCACACUGAUGUUUGAGUUUUUCAAAAGCUCUGUUUUCAGUGACCUAAAAUGCAGAAAGCGUGUGGACGAAAGGCCAAAACGAAUAGAAAAGGCUAUGCUUAAAAGAAAAUACCUGUGUACAUGUGGACAAGGCCUAAGACCAGCGAACUGUUGUUACAUGUUCUAGCUGUAAUGUUGAUGGUUAAAAUGAAAAAUGUUUGGAGACCCUGUUCUAUUGUCUGGGAUUAAUACAGCUGUCGUUUGACUUAAACAAAUCCAUUUCCAUCUACAAGAAUGAAAUAAAUGUAUGUUUGCAUUUUGUUGCACCUAAUGGAAAAGAUGAAUGUGGUGUGGUGUCCACACUGAAAUGCCAAUAAAUACCCUGCUGUGACCAAUUUAAAAUGUUGAUCGAAAUGCGUUUUUUAGGGAAUAUCCUUAAAUGACAUAAUGAAAAUCGAUGUGUCAGCGCUUGGCAGGAAGUUUUACUACCAUAAUUUUCACUCAGAAAAUUUACAGAUAUCUUAUUAUACCUUAUUGUGUGGAUGUAGCCCAGCCGGCUGUGUGCUCUUGCAUUGACCCUCUUCUCCACAGCACUGUGUGCAUGCUAACAUUUCCCCUCACACUCGCUCCAUCACUCCCCUAUGGAUGCCUGCUCUGUUGCAUGCAUCAACCUCCCACCCUGACCCAGCCCCUCUCCCACCAUCUCCUUGGCUCCUCCUACUUCUGAGAUUCGCCUGAGGAAACUGGUGGAUGAGCGUGAAAAAAUGAUCGAGCAGGU